GUGAGUAACCUGCCCUUGACUCUGGGAUAAGCGUUGGAAACGACGUCUAAUACCGGAUACGAACCGUGGAGGCAUCUCCUGCGGUUGGAAAGAAUUUUGGUCAAGGAUGGACUCGCGGCCUAUCAGCUAGUUGGUGAGGUAACGGCCCACCAAGGCGACGACGGGUAGCCGGCCUGAGAGGGUGACCGGCCACACUGGGACUGAGACACGGCCCAGACUCCUACGGGAGGCAGCAGUGGGGAAUAUUGCACAAUGGGCGAAAGCCUGAUGCAGCAACGCCGCGUGAGGGACGACGGCCUUCGGGUUGUAAACCUCUUUUAGCAGGGAAGAAGCGAAAGUGACGGUACCUGCAGAAAAAGCACCGGCUAACUACGUGCCAGCAGCCGCGGUAAUACGUAGGGUGCAAGCGUUGUCC
rnacentral:rRNA from 1 species